rnacentral:lncRNA from 1 species
CCAACCCUCUGUCUCCAGUGACCCUGACCUCUGUCCUCCAGGUGACCAUUGGAGCCUCAUACUCAACAUGUCCUGGCAUGAACUCUGCCCCUCUCUGCCCAGUCUCUCGAGAAGGUGACAGGAACGGAUGCUGGUCACCAGCCGGCCACAUGGGGCAUGCAGAGGGACAGCAAACAUGCUACCGCCUAGACCAGGAGGAGGCCAAGCCACUGGCUCCACACUGUUCCCUUGACAUGCUAGAUUGUGACAGAGGGUCGGCCAGAUUGAGAUGUCACCGAUGCCUUGCUGCAGUCCAGGACGAGGAGGGGGCCCAGAGCCACACUGAGAGGUGGAGGGAGCAAGCAGGGCUGGCCUGGUCCUGGGCCCUGAGAGGCAGCAGGAAGCUAUCCCAUGAGAGAGCUGUUGUCAUCCUGACUGAGGGUGACAAAGCUGAGGCCUGGAGUGGUUCCAUGGCUUGCCGGAGACCACACAGCUCACUGACCACACUGGUGGUCUUCAGCCCUAUCCCUUACUGUGUGAUCCCGUUCGUGACAAAGCCUGACGCCAGGCUAAGGAGCCACCACACCUCCGGCAUGGGCUCAGCUGCCCUGCUCUGCGCCCGGGAGCUCUGAGGGCCGGCAAAGGCACCUGCUGCACAGCCCCGCAUGCUGAGGUUCCAGCUAGGCCCCACGCUCAUCUCCACGCCCCUUUCCAUUUCUCUGUUAACACUUGUUUGAAGAGGUGGCAAGCUAAGCCUCCUGUGACUCAUCUUUGCUGGUCCUUGGGCCAGGGAGGGAAGGCUGGAACCAGCAGCAGAAGCAGACGGGUGAGGCCAUUCCUGGGGAGCCCCGGCCAGGGGUCUCUGGGGAAGGAGAGCCAGGCCAGGUGCCCGAGGUCUGGGAGCUGGUCGCCCAUGAUGACUAGGGCCUGAACAGGCAGAGAUGAGCCUGGCAGGUGUCGCGGCAUGGGACAGAGGGAACAUGGGGACUAGACAGUCCUGGGCCAAGCCUCGAGGGUCAUGCUUCCCAUGGAGGUGUCGCCCCAGGGCCAGCGUCCAUUGCCUUCCCACAUCAGGAGGGCCUCGAGGAGGAGAGCACUCAGGAGCGAGGUGGGCGGCAGGGCAUCCAGGACAAAACCCCCCACACUGCACAGAGAGAGAGGUGGGGAGCAGGAGGGAGGAACAGGAGAGCCCCGCCCUGGACGUCAGAGACCACAACCACGGCUCACUUCCGGGAAGGUCUCUGGGACUAAUUGUGACCUUAGGCAGGAAAGCGUCCAGGUGAUCCGGUCUAACGUGCUGGAACUCAGAACCAUUCAACCAUCUCUGCAGACCCCAGACCACAGUCCACAGGCUUCUGAGGCCAGCUCCCCACUCACUCUUCAGCAUCAGCUCCCCCGCUCCCCUGGGAACUUCCAAGACACCCAGGCCUUGAACGUGUCUGGUCCCCCGGGGCCUGGUGCCAGCUGCUUCCCCGAGGACUCCUCCUGCAGAGGCUGCGUGGCCGGCUGCCUCUCGUCCUCCCUGCUCUGCUUGCAGCGAGGCCCUUCCUAACGCCUCCACCCUCCUCAGGCCUCCCUCCCCAC